UCCCAUAUAGUGUAGUGGUUUAGCAUUCCAGAUUUUCAGUUCUUCUUCCUGACCAUUCUGGCGACCCGGGUUCGAACCCCGGUAUGGGAA